rnacentral:lncRNA from 1 species
GUCUUACUUCUGUUAUCUCAUCUAAUCUCCAUAGCCGCCCAGUGCAGGAGGCACCAUUGCUGUUCUCAGAGAUGAAGAAAGUGAGGCUCCGAGGACUUGGGUAACGUGUCCAGGGCCACCCGGUUGGAAAGACUUCCAGUCUGGACCGGCUGUCAGCAGGCUUAGCCACAGCCAUUCUGACUAUGACACACAUACAUCAUUUUCUGAUAAGGAGUUUUGUAAGGCUCCUAUGAGUGUUUCCCUGUCACAUUCAGAAGACAGGCCAGGCUCCUUCCUGUGACUCACCGGUGCCACCUGCUCCACCCAAGCCUGCUCUGAUGAUCCUGGUGGCUCUGCACCCCUGUCUUCUAGACCUUCAGCUACCCAGACCUGUACCUUAACAGACUGUGAGCUUGGUGUUGACCAUGAUGGGAAUAUUAUUCUGCGAGAACGGACAAACAGAACACACUGGGGCUCUUCUUGUCCUCUGAGACCUGGUUACAUUCACUGGCUCCUGACUGUGAACUGUGAUACGAGGGAGGAUACAGAGGGUUUGCCUUCAGAAUCUGUAUUGACUGUUGGCUGCCUGGUGUCUUCUCGGAGGCCUGUGUGCCCAACAGGAGAAGGAGUCUCAGAGCCUUCCCUGACCACCAGCCAUGUGAGGCUACCGAGUCCUUGAACUGUGGUUGUUGAGAUGUGCCUGGAGUUGAAACACACCGGACUUCUAAGACUCAGUACAAUGUAAUGUAAAGUAGUUUGUUUGUUUGUUUUGUUUUUCAAGACAAGCUUUCUCUGUUUAGCCCUGGCUAUUCUGGAUCUCACUCUAUAGACCAGGCUGGCCUUGAACUCAUCUGCGUGUGCCACCACUGUAAAUUACUGACAACUAUUUAACAUUUAUUAAAUGGGCUGGUUUUUUUUUCAAUGUGAUAUAAACCAGAGUUACCUAGGAAGAAGAAACCUCAUCAGAGAAUUGUAUCCAUCAUAUAGGCUCACAGAUAUGCCUAUGGGGACGUUUACAAAAUAAUGAUAGAUGUGGGAGGGCCCAGCCCACUAUGGAUGGUGCCAGUGCUGGGCAUCAGGCCAGUGAGCAACAGUGAUUCCUUCCUCUGCUCUCUCACGAGUUCUAUCCCCGAAGCCCCUC